CCUACGGGGUGCAGCAGUGAGGAAUAUUGGUCAAUGGGCGCAAGCCUGAACCAGCCAAGUCGCGUGAGGGAUGACGGUCCUAUGGAUUGUAAACCUCUUUUGUCGGGGAGCAAGGCCCGCCACGUGUGGCGGGAAGGAGAGUACCCGAAGAAAAAGCAUCGGCUAACUCCGUGCCAGCAGCCGCGGUAAUACGGGGGAUGGGAGCGUUACCCGGAUUUAUUGGGUUUAAGGGGUGCGUAGGCGGAAGGUUAAGUCAGCGGUAAAAUGUCGGUGCUCAACACCGGCCUGCCGUUGAAACUGGUCUUCUUGAGUGAGCUAGAAGUAUGCGGAAUGCGUGGUGUAGCGGUGAAAUGCAUAGAUAUCACGCAGAACUCCGAUUGCGAAGGCAGCAUACCGGCGCCCUACUGACGCUGAGGCACGAAAGCGUGGGUAUCGAACAGGAUUAGAUACCCCUGUAGUC
rnacentral:rRNA from 1 species